AUAUAAGUGAGGGUGGGGUCAGAUUGUUCCCUGAACCACACUCUGUUAGCAUUACCGAGCAGGGUGCUCCGUCCACCAGCACCGUCGGCUGAAAAGCAUGGAUACCAGAAAAGGAGUCUUUCCUUCAUCUCCUAAAUGCUAAGUUGAUGUCCUUCCCUAGAAGUCUUUCCAUUAAUUAAGUUGGCCUGAAGGUCAUAAACCAUGAUCGAUAUGGAGGCUGGUUGCUGCACGGUGCUAAUUGACAUCCCCAAAGAGGAAUAGUGUCAACAAUCAAUAGAGAAGAGCAGGACACUGGUAGACUCAUGGCUUUGAUUUCUGAAAAGGCUCUCCAAGGUGCAGCCACCAUGAUCUCGGCAGGCUGAUGAUGGAAGAGAAAGAAGCCGGGAGACCCUGUGCUCCAGCAUCCCUGGAC